GACGAACGCUGGCGGCGUGCUUAACACAUGCAAGUCGAACGGAAAGGCCCUGCUUUUGUGGGUUGCUUGAUUGGCGAACGGGUGAGUAACACGUGAGUAACCUGCCCUUGACUUUGGGAUAACUUCAGGAAACUGGGGCUAAUACCGGAUAUGAGCUUCUGCUGCAUGGUGGGGGUUGGAAAGUUUCGGCGGUUGGGGAUGUACUCGCGGGUUAUCGGCUUGUUUGUGUUGUAGUGGCUUUCGAAGGCUUUGACGGAUAGCCGGCCUGAGAGGGGGACCGGCGACAAUGGGACUAAGAGACGGAGCAGACGCGUACGGGAGGCAGAAGGGGGAAAUAUGACAGAAUGAGGGGAAGUGAGAGAUAGAGACGUCGGGAGCGGAAUGACGGGUUUCGAGUGGAAAACAGAUGUGGAAGGUAGCGAAGAGAGAGUGACGGUAAUGGGUAAGGAAGCCACGGCUAACUACGUG
rnacentral:rRNA from 1 species